rnacentral:rRNA from 1 species
GACGAACGCUGGCGGCGUGCUUAACACAUGCAAGUCGAACGGACAGGCGCUGCUUUUGUGUGUUGCUCGAUUGGCGAACGGGUGAGUAACACGUGAGUAACCUGCCCUUGACUUAGGGAUAACUUCUGGGAACUGGGGCUAAUACCGGAUAUGAUCUUCUGCUGCAUGUGGUUGGUUGGAAAGUUUCGGCCGUUCGGGCUCGACUCGAGGCUUAUCCGCUUCUUGGUGAGGUUGUUGCGUUCCACGGUUUUGACGGCUAGGCGGCAUGGGAGGGUGACCGGGCACAUUGGGACUGAGGUAGGGACCAGAAUGCUACGGGCCGCAGUAGGGGGGAAUAUUGCAGAGUAGCGGGGAGUCAGAGGCAGCAAUGCCGCGUGCGGGAUGACCUGCUACGGGUUGUAAACCGCUUUCGCCUGUGACGAAGAGUGAGUGACGGUAACGGGUAAAGAAGCACCGGCUAACUACGUG